UACGAAGGGGGCGAGCGUUGUUCGGAAUUACUGGGCGUAAAGGGCGCGCAGGCGGUCCUUCAAGUCAGAUGUGAAAGCCCCGGGCUCAACCUGGGAACUGCAUUUGAGACUGGAGGACUUGAGGACGGGAGAGGAGAGUGGAAUUCCCAGUGUAGAGGUGAAAUUCGUAGAUAUUGGGAAGAACACCGAUGGCGAAGGCAGCUCUCUGGACCACAACUGACGCUGAGGCGCGAAAGCUAGGGGAGCAAACAGG
rnacentral:rRNA from 1 species